UACGGGGGGGGCAAGCGUUGUUCGGAAUUACUGGGCGUAAAGGGCUCGUAGGCGGCCAACUAAGUCAGACGUGAAAUCCCUCGGCUUAACCGGGGAACUGCGUCUGAUACUGGUUGGCUUGAGUGUGGGAGAGGGAUGCGGAAUUCCAGGUGUAGCGGUGAAAUGCGUAGAUAUCUGGAGGAACACCGGUGGCGAAGGCGGCAUCCUGGACCAUUACUGACGCUCAGGCGCGACAGCGUGGGGAUCAAACAGG
rnacentral:rRNA from 1 species